rnacentral:misc_RNA from 1 species
GUGAAUCAUCGAAUUUUUGAACGCAAAUUGCACUCUCUGGUAUUCCGGAGAGUAUGCCUGUUUGAGGGUCAGUAUAAAUAAAAAUCGAGGGGCUGUUUAAGGUGACGCAAUCGGGAUCGGGUGAUUGUUAAUCUUAAUAAAGGUAUAAAGUGACCUAAAAUUGAUGAUACCUUGUGCAUCUCAAGACGUACAUAAGAAUCUUUUUUUUAUCAGUCUGGAGU